rnacentral:rRNA from 1 species
GGAUGCGAUCAUACCAGCACUAAAGCACCGGAUCCCAUCAGAACUCCGAAGUUAAGCGUGCUUGGUCGAGAGUAGUACUAGGAUGGGUGACCUCUUGGGAAGUCCUUGUGUUGCAUUCC